rnacentral:rRNA from 1 species
UACGUAGGGGGCAAGCGUUGUCCGGAAUCAUUGGGCGUAAAGCGCGUGUAGGCGGCUCGAUAAGUCUGCUGUGAAAGUCCAGGGCUCAACCCUGGAAUGCCGGUGGAAACUGUCGAGCUAGAGUCCGGAAGAGGCGAGUGGAAUUCCUGGUGUAGCGGUGAAAUGCGUAGAUAUCAGGAGGAACACCUGUGGCGAAAGCGGCUCACUGGACCAUAACUGACGCUGAUGCACGAAAGCUAGGGGAGCAAACAGG